ACAGUCUCUUGUGGUCUCUUACUCCGACGUUUCGCAGGACCCUUACAUUUGGUGCAUUGGCCGGGACCUGCGCAUCGCCGGACAGGGAGACCUCAACAAGACUCCUUUAGGGGGCCUACUUGGGAUGACUGCCAACAACUCUUAGGCACUCUCUUCAUGACAGAGGAAUAAGAGAGAAUCCUCCUGGAAGCAAGAAAAAAAAUAUCCUCGGACCAGAUGGGCGAUUGACACAACUUCCCAACAUAAUCGAAGCUGACUUCCACUUAAACCGACCUAACUGGGACCCCAACACCUUUAAAGGUAGGGAGCAUCUGUCCACUUAUUGCCGGGCUCUAAUAUCGGGUCUCCAAGCAGCCGCUAUAUGGCCAACUAAUUUGAACAAGGUAAGAGAGAUUAUUCAGGGGCCUAAUAAAUCACCCUCUAUGUUUCUGGAUAGAAUUAUGGAGGCAUAUAGGAGAUAUACUCCUUUUGAUCCCCAGGCAGAGGAUCAAAAGACAUCUGUCACGAUGGCCUUUAUUGGGCAAGCUGCCCUGGAUAUUAAAAAAAAUAGUUACAACGUUUAGAUGGAUUACAAAAUAUGACUUUGAGAGAUUUAGUCAGAGAAGCUGAGAAGGUAUACUAUAAGAGAGAAACUGAGGAAGAGAAGGAACAAAGGAGGGAGAAAGAAAGGGAAAAAAGGGAGAAAGAAAGGGAGCAAAGGGAGGAUGAAAGAAGCAAAAGACAGACUGAGGCAUUGACUAAGGUCCUGGUCACAACAACAAAUAGGCCAGAAGUUAAGAGACAGGGAGACAGAAAGGGAUACCUGGGUCCAUGCCAAAAGCCACAUCUGGCUUCAGAUCAAUGUGCCUACUGUA